rnacentral:rRNA from 1 species
AGAGUUUGAUCCUGGCUCAGAACGAACGCUGGCGGCAUGCUUAACACAUGCAAGUCGAACGAAGAAGUUAGCUUCGGUUAACUUCUUAGUGGCAAACGGGUGAGUAACGCGUGGGAAUCUGCCUAGUAGUGGGGAAUAACUAUGGGAAACUAUAGCUAAUACCGCAUAAGCCCUGAGGGGGAAAGGCUUCGGCCGCUAUU